rnacentral:piRNA from 1 species
CCAAUCAAAUGGAGUGCUGUUCAGGUCACCA